UGGGGAAUUUUGGACAAUGGGCGAAAGCCUGAUCCAGCAAUGCCGCGUGUGUGAAGAAGGCCUUCGGGUUGUAAAGCACUUUUGUCCGGAAAGAAAUCCUUGGCUCUAAUACAGUCGGGGGAUGACGGUACCGGAAGAAUAAGCACCGGCUAACUACGUGCCAGCAGCCGCGGUAAUACGUAGGGUGCAAGCGUUAAUCGGAAUUACUGGGCGUAAGCGUGCGCAGGCGGUUUGCUAAGACCGAUGUGAAAUCCCCGGGCUCAACCUGGGAACUGCAUUGGUGACUGGCGGGCUAGAGUAUGGCAGAGGGGGGUAGAAUUCCACGUGUAGCAGUGAAAUGCGUAGAGAUGUGGAGGAAUACCGAUGGCGAAGGCAGCCCCCUGGGCCAAUACUGACGCUCAUGCACGAAAGCGUGGGGAGCAAACAGGAUUAGAUACCCUGGUAGUCCACGCCCUAAACGAUGUCAACUAGUUGUUGGGGAUUCAUUUCCUUAGUACGUAGCUAACGCGUGAAGUUGACCGCCUGGGGAGUACGGUCG
rnacentral:rRNA from 1 species